GCCUCUGUAGCUCAGUUGGUUCGAGUGCUGCACCGGAAUCGCAGGGCCGUAGGUUCAAUUCCUACCAGAGGAC